UAGGGAAUCUUCGGCAAUGGGGGCAACCCUGACCGAGCAACGCCGCGUGAGUGAAGAAGGUUUUCGGAUCGUAAAGCUCUGUUGUAAGAGAAGAACGUGUGUGAGAGUGGAAAGUUCACACAGUGACGGUAACUUACCAGAAAGGGACGGCUAACUACGUGCCAGCAGCCGCGGUAAUACGUAGGUCCCGAGCGUUGUCCGGAUUUAUUUGGCGUAAAGCGAGCGCAGGCGGUUUAAUAAGUCUGAAGUUAAAGGCAGUGGCUUAACCAUUGUUCGCUUUGGAAACUGUUAAACUCGAGUGCAGAAGGGGAGAGUGGAAUUCCAUGUGUAGCGGUGAAAUGCGUAGAUAUAUGGAGGAACACCGGUGGCGAAAGCGGCUCUCUGGUCUGUAACUGACGCUGAGGCUCGAAAGCGUGGGGAGCAAACAGG
rnacentral:rRNA from 1 species